UACGGAGGAUCCAAGCGUUAUCCGGAUUCAUUGGGUUUAAAGGGUGCGUAGGCGGAAUGAUAAGUCAGUGGUGAAAUCCCUUCGCUUAACGAAGGAACUGCCAUUGAUACUGUCAAUCUUGAGUACAUUUGAUGUGGGCGGAAUGUGUCAUGUAGCGGUGAAAUGCUUAGAUAUGACACAGAACACCGAUUGCGAAGGCAGCUCACAAAACUGUAACUGACGCUGAGGCACGAAAGCGUGGGUAUCAAACAGG
rnacentral:rRNA from 2 species